AAUAACAGCAACCUGUUAAACACAGGUCUUGUCAAUUUUUAACUCGGCAUACAAAGUGCAAAGUCUGAAUAUUGGGUUGGAUGAAAUUGCUUAACUAAAAUUAUAAAUGCAGACCUGCAAACCUUUGUAAAAAAAAUGCAAACAGCAAGAGGUUAUUCAAGAUUAAUUAAAUCAGAGGCAGACUCGUGUUCAUUUGUGACAAAU